rnacentral:lncRNA from 1 species
GUUAAAAUUCCAUGGUAGUUUUAUUUUAUAUUGAUGUACCACUUAAAGAUGAAAUAGCUAUUCAGUUUGAUUUUUCUGCCUGGGUUUAGUUGUUGUUCUUUUUUAGUAUUUGUUUUGAAAGCUUAUUUUAUCCAAUUAGCUUUGCCUUUUCAAUUUUUAUUUAUAUUUCUUAGAAGUAUUUAAAAUUUCUCCAAGCUUCAGUAUGUUUUCUUAGAACCCCCUCCAAAUAUCUAGGCACCUAUUUAGUUCACUAAAGUAUUAAAUAAGAUGAGUAAGAUCCAGGCUGUUCCCUUUCCACUUUCAUUCUUUAUAUUUUAAGUUUCCUUUUCCAUUAAACUUGGGCACCUUAGUGGCUGAAUAGAGAAGGAAGCCCCCACCCUGUUCUCAUGUGUGCUGUUGAGGGGUGGGAGGGGGGGCUUCUGUU